UACGGGGGGAGCAAGCGUUGUUCGGAUUUACUGGGCGUAAAGGGCGCGUAGGCGGCCACCGCAAGUCGGUUGUGAAAUCUCCGGGCUUAACCCGGAAAGGUCAAUCGAUACUGCGGGGCUAGAGUGCAGAAGGGGCAACUGGAAUUCUCGGUGUAGCGGUGAAAUGCGUAGAUAUCGAGAGGAACACCCGUGGCGAAGGCGGGUCUCUGGGACGGUACUGACGCUGAGACGCGAAAGCGUGGGGAGCGAACAGG
rnacentral:rRNA from 1 species